CCUACGGGUGGCAGCAGUGAGGAAUAUUGGUCAAUGGGCGCGAGCCUGAACCAGCCAAGUCGCGUGAGGGAAGACGGUCCUAUGGAUUGUAAACCUCUUUUGUCGGGGAGCAAAAGACGCCACGCGUGGCGUUCCGAGAGUAACCGAAGAAACAGCAUCGGCUAACUACGUGCCAGCAGCCGCGGUAACACGGAGGAUGCGAGCGUUAUCCGGAUUUAUUGGGGUUAAAGGGUGCGCUGGGGGAAGAUCAAGGCAGCGGUAAAAUUGAGAGGCCAAGCCUCUUCGAGCCGGUGAAACUGGUUUUCUUGAGUGAGCGAGAAGUAUGCGGAAUGCGUGGUGUAGCGGUGAAAUGCAUAGAUAUCACGCAGAACUCCGAUUGCGAAGGCAGCAUACCGGCGCUCAACUGACGCUCAUGCACGAAAGUGUGGGUAUCGAACAGGAUUAGAUACCCGAGUAGUC
rnacentral:rRNA from 1 species